rnacentral:rRNA from 1 species
AGCAGCCGCGGUAAUUCCAGCUCCAAUAGCGUAUAUUAAAGUUGUUGCAGUUAAAAAGCUCGUAGUUGAACUUCGGAAUCUGUCCAUCGGUCGGGCUUCACUGUCCGUACUGGUGUGGUGGGUUCUUACCUUCUGAAUAACCAGCAUGCCAUUCACUUGGUGCGUUGGGGAAGCAGGACUAUUACCUUGAAAAAAUUAGAGUGCUCAAAGCAGGCUAGUGCCUGAAUACAUUAGCAUGGAAUAAUAAAAUAGGACGGCAUGGUUCUAUUUUGUUGGUUUCUAGGAUCACCGUAAUGAUUAAUAGGGAUAGUUGGGGGCAUUAGUAUUCAAUUGUCAGAGGUGAAAUUCUUGGAUUUAUUGAAGACUAACUUCUGCGAAAGCAUUUGCCAAGGAUGUUUUCAUUAAUCAAGAACGAAAGUUAGGGGAUCGAAGACGAUCAGAUACCGUCGUAGUCUUAACCAUAAACUAUGCCGACUAGGGAUCGGACGAUGUUAAUUUUUUAAUGACUCGUUCGGCG